UACGUAGGGUGCGAGCGUUGUCCGGAAUUAUUGGGCGUAAAGAGCUUGUAGGCGGUCUGUCGCGUCUGCUGUGAAAAUCCGGGGCUCAACCCCGGACUUGCAGUGGGUACGGGCAGACUAGAGUGUGGUAGGGGAGACUGGAAUUCCUGGUGUAGCGGUGAAAUGCGCAGAUAUCAGGAGGAACACCGAUGGCGAAGGCAGGUCUCUGGGCCAUAACUGACGCUGAGGAGCGAAAGCCAGGGGAGCAAACGGG
rnacentral:rRNA from 1 species